rnacentral:rRNA from 1 species
GGCUCAGGAUGAACGCUAGCUACAGGCUUAACACAUGCAAGUCGAGGGGGAAACGACAUCGAAAGCUUGCUUUUGAUGGGCGUCGACCGGCGCACGGGUGAGUAACGCGUAUCCAACCUGCCCAUCACUUGGGGAUAACCUUGCGAAAGUAAGACUAAUACCCAAUGAUAUCUCUAGAAGACAUCUGAAGGAGAUUAAAGAUUUAUCGGUGAUGGAUGGGGAUGCGUCUGAUUAGCUUGUUGGCGGGGUAACGGCCCACCAAGGCAACGAUCAGUAGGGGUUCUGAGAGGAAGGUCCCCCACAUUGGAACUGAGACACGGUCCAAACUCCUACGGGAGGCAGCAGUGAGGAAUAUUGGUCAAUGGACGAGAGUCUGAACCAGCCAAGUAGCGUGCAGGAUGACGGCCCUAUGGGUUGUAAACUGCUUUUAUAAGGGAAUAAAGUGAGCCUCGUGAGGCUUUUUGCAUGUACCUUAUGAAUAAGGACCGGCUAAUUCCGUG